CUGGCUCAGGACGAACGCUGGCGGCGUGCCUAAUACAUGCAAGUCGAGCGGAUGAUAAGGAGCUUGCUCCUUUGAUUCAGCGGCGGACGGGUGAGUAACACGUGGGCAACCUGCCUGUAAGACUGGGAUAACUUCGGGAAACCGGAGCUAAUACCGGAUAACUCUUCGAACCUCAUGGUUCGAAGAUAAAAGAUGGUUUCGGCUAUCACUUACAGAUGGGCCCGCGGCGCAUUAGCUAGUUGGUGAGGUAACGGCUC
rnacentral:rRNA from 1 species